rnacentral:rRNA from 1 species
UACAGAGGGUGCGAGCGUUGUUCGGAAUUAUUGGGCGUAAAGGGCGCGUAGGCGGCGCGGUAUGUCACCUGUGAAAUCUCCUGGCUCAACUGGGAGCUUGCAGGCGAAACUGCCGUGCUGGAGUGUGGGAGAGGUGCGUGGAAUUCCUGGUGUAGCGGUGAAAUGCGUAGAUAUCAGGAGGAACACCAGUGGCGAAGGCGGCUUCCUGGUCUGCGACUGACGCUGUGGCGCGAAAGCUAGGGGAGCAAACGGG